rnacentral:rRNA from 1 species
UUUGUCCCGGGGUAAGGGUGUAGGACGAGUGGUAGGCAAAUCCGCCACUCACAUAGUCUGAGACCUGAUGCCGAGCCGAUUGUGGUGAAGUGGAUGAUCCUAUGCUGUCGAGAAAAGCCUCUAGCGAGUUUCAUGGCGGCCCGUACCCUAAACCGACUCAGGUGGUCAGGUAGAGAAUACCGAGGCGUUCGAGUGAACUAUGGUUAAGGAACUCGGCAAAAUGCCCCCGUAACUUCGGGAGAAGGGGGGCCAUCACCGGUGAUCCGUUUUACACGGUGAGCUGGGGGUGGCCGCAGAGACCAGCGAGAAGCGACUGUUUACUAAAAACACAGGUCCGUGCGAAGCCGUAAGGCGAUGUAUACGGACUGACGCCUGCCCGGUGCUGGAACGUUAAGGGGACCGGUUAGUCACAAUUCGUUGUGGCGAAGCUGAGAACUUAAGCGCCAGUAAACGGCGGUGGUAACUAUAACCAUCCUAAGGUAGCGAAAUUCCUUGUCGGGUAAGUUCCGACCUGCACGAAUGGCGUAACGACUUCUCGACUGUCUCAACCAUAGGCCCGGUGAAAUUGCACUACGAGUAAAGAUGCUCGUUUCGCGCAGCAGGACGGAAAGACCCCGGGACCUUUACUACAGUUUGAUAUUGGUGUUCGGUUCGGCUUGUGUAGGAUAGCUGGGAGACUGUGAACUCUGGACGCCAGUUCAGGGGGAGUCGUCGUUGAAAUACCAGUCUGGUCGCGCUGGAUGUCUAACCUGGGUCCGUGAUCCGGAUCAGGGACAGUGUCUGAUGGGUAGUUUAACUGGGGCGGUUGCCUCCUAAAGAGUAACGGAGGCGCCCAAAGGUUCCCUCAGCCUGGUUGGCAAUCAGGUGUUGAGUGUAAGUGCACAAGGGAGCUUGACUGUGAGACCGACGGGUCGAGCAGGGACGAAAGUCGGGACUAGUGAUCCGGCGGUGGCUUGUGGAAGCGCCGUCGCUCAACGGAUAAAAGGUACCCCGGGGAUAACAGGCUGAUCUUCCCCAAGAGUCCAUAUCGACGGGAUGGUUUGGCACCUCGAUGUCGGCUCGUCGCAUCCUGGGGCUGGAGUCGGUCCCAAGGGUUGGGCUGUUCGCCCAUUAAAGCGGUACGCGAGCUGGGUUUAGAACGUCGUGAGACAGUUCGGUCCCUAUCCGCUGCGCGCGCAGGAACAUUGAGAAGGGCUGUCCCUAGUACGAGAGGACCGGGACGGACGAACCUCUGGUGUGCCAGUUGUUCUGCCAAGGGCAUGGCUGGUUGGCUACGUUCGGGAGGGAUAACCGCUGAAAGCAUCUAAGCGGGAAGCCUGCUUCGAGAUGAGUGUUCCCACCCCCUUGAGGGGUUAAGGCUCCCAGUAGACGACUGGGUUGAUAGGCCGGAUCUGGAAGGCGGGUAACCGCUGGAGGUGACCGGUACUAAUAGGCCGAGGGCUUGUCC